AUCGAUGAAGAACGCAGCGAAAUGCGAUAAGUAAUGUGAAUUGCAGAAUUCAGUGAAUCAUCGAAUCUUUGAACGCACAUUGCGCCCCUUGGUAUUCCGGGGGGCAUGCCUGUUCGAGCGUCAUUUCAACCCUCAAGCUCUGCUUGGUCUUGGGCUCUGCCGGCAACGGCUGGCCUUAAAAUCAGUGGCGGCGCCAUCGAGCUCUACGCGUAGUAAUUAUACCCUCGCGUGUGAGUCCCGGUGGAUGCUGGCCAGCAACCCCCAAUUUUUUAUGGUUGACCUCGAAUCAGGUAGGGAUACCCGCUGAACUUAAGCAUAUCAAUAAGCGGAGGAAAAGAAACCAACAGGGAUUACCUCAGUAACGGCGAGUGAAGCGGUAACAGCUCAAAUUUGAAAUCUGGCUCUUUCAGGGUCCGAGUUGUAAUUUGUAGAAGAUGCUUCGGGUGUGGCUCCGGUCUAAGUUCCUUGGAACAGGACGUCAUAGAGGGUGAGAAUCCCGUAUGUGACUGGCUGCCUCCGCCCAUGUGAAGCUCUUUCGACGAGUCGAGUUGUUUGGGAAUGCAGCUCAAAAUGGGUGGUAAAUUUCAUCUAAAGCUAAAUAUUGGCCAGAGACCGAUAGCGCACAAGUAGAGUGAUCGAAAGAUGAAAAGCACUUUGGAAAGAGAGUUAAACAGUACGUGAAAUUGUUGAAAGGGAAGCGCUUGCAAUCAGACUUGCACGCUGCUGAUCAUCGGAGGUUCUCCUUCGUGCACUCGGUAGCGUUCAGGCCAGCAUCGGUUUGGGUGGUUAGAUAAAGGCCUUGGGAAUGUGGCUUCCUUCGGGGAGUGUUAUAGCCCAGGGUGCAAUGUAGCCUACCUGGACCGAGGACCGCGCUUCGGCUAGGAUGCUGGCGUAAUGGUUGUAAGCGACCCGUCUUGAAACACGG
rnacentral:rRNA from 1 species